rnacentral:rRNA from 1 species
UACGGGGGGGGCAAGCGUUGUCCGGAAUUAUUGGGCGUAAAGAGCUCGUAGGCGGUUUGUCGCGUCGGCCGUGAAAACUUGGGGCUUAACCCCGAGCCUGCGGUCGAUACGGGCAGACUUGAGUUCGGCAGGGGAGACUGGAAUUCCUGGUGUAGCGGUGAAAUGCGCAGAUAUCAGGAGGAACACCGGUGGCGAAGGCGGGACUCUGGGCCGAUACUGACGCUGAGGAGCGAAAGCGUGGGGAGCAAACAGG